AACAGGAUUCAUCUGUCUGCUGAAGCAUGGCUUUCCCCAAAGAUGUAACUGCAAGCAUCAUAUUUAAGAAAUGCCCUUUAAGAGCUAUCCAGAAGAAGAAGAGAAAAUUGAGUUGCUAACGGUGUCUACUCAGGUGCUCACCCAGAUAAGCCACAGAAUACAAUUUCUUCUAGACCAGAGCAUUCCACAGUUCCAGGGACAUUUUGAUAUGGAUCCAGACAAAGCAGGUAAAACUUUGCUCUUGAUUGCCACAUCAGCUACUUUUGUUUGGCCCAGUUAUAAAUAAUAACCCCAGCUCAAUUUGGGCUUUUUAGCAAAACAGACCAGCUGUGAUUUUGGUGACAUAAUUCUCUCAUGUGCCACUUCAGAUAAAAAUUUUGCCCAAUGGACAACCUACAUCAGAUACCUUUUUUAAUAACAAAGCCACAGUGAGUUAAUAGUUUCUUAAUUCAGGAUAACUUUACCAUCAAUCUAUUUUUUUGCAUCAAGUAACACAAUCAAUGGAUGCACAACAAUUUAAUUGUUCUGGAAAAUAUUUUUCAAUUCAGUUCCGAGAUAGGCACUGCUGUUUACUGCACUGCUUCUCUUCUCCCUUUUAAAUCUUUCUGCUCUUAUAUUACAUUAAUUCCAAUAGUCCAUUCACAGUUUUGAUCAAACAGCGCUCAUUCUUGCUCUUCCAAUUACUUGAGAAUAAGUAAAGGACAGGGGAGUGGAGAUAAUCUCUUCUAUUAAGUAAGUUUUAAAUUACCUUUCUUCUUUUGCCUCUUAUUGUUGCCAUAAAAAAUUAUACAAGCAGUGAAAACAUUUUCUUCAGCUCUGUAAUGUGCAAGUAGAAAUUUUGGAGUAGUUACACUGCAAUUACACUUUUUGACCAAAAAGCAGUUAUAUUAAUGGGAAUAAAUAAAGUGUAGUUAUGGUCUUGGUAAUGUAA
rnacentral:lncRNA from 1 species